GAUGAACGCUGGCGGCGUGCCUAAUACAUGCAAGUCGAACGAAACUUCUUUAUCACCGAGUGCUUGCACUCACCGAUACAGAGUUGAGUGGCGAACGGGUGAGUAACACGUGGGCAACCUGCCCAAAAGAGGGGGAUAACACUUGGAAACAGGUGCUAAUACCGCAUAACCAUAGUUACCGCAUGGUAACUAUGUAAAAGGUGGCUAUACUACCGCUUUUGGAUGGGCCCGCGGCGCAUUAGCUAGUUGGUAGGGUAAAGGCUUACCAAGGCAAUGAUGCGUAACCGAAUUGAGAGGUUGAUCGGCCACAUUGGGACUGAGACACGGCCCAAACUCCUACGGGAGGCAGCAGUAGGGAAUCUUCCACAAUGGGCGAAAGCCUGAUGGAGCAACGCCGCGUGGGUGAAGAAGGUCUUCGGAUCGUAAAACCCUGUUGUUAGAGAAGAAAGUGCGUGAGAGUAACUGUUCACGUUUCGACGGUAUCUAACCAGAAAGCCACGGCUAACUACGUG
rnacentral:rRNA from 1 species